rnacentral:rRNA from 1 species
AACGAACGCUGGCGGCAUGCCUAACACAUGCAAGUCGAACGAAGGCUUCGGCCUUAGUGGCGAACGGGUGCGUAACGCGUGAGAAUCUGCCCUUUGCUUCGGAAUAACAGUUAGAAAUGACUGCUAAUACCGGAUGAGGUCGCGAGACCAAAGAUUUAUCGGCAAAGGAUGAGCCCGCGUAGGAUUAGUUAGUUGGUGGGGUAAAGGCUUACCAAGGCGACGAUCCUUAGUUGGUCUGAGAGGAUGAUCAGCCACACUGGGACUGAGACACGGCCCAGACUCCUACGGGAGGCAGCAGUGGGGAAUAUUGGACAAUGGGCGAAAGCCUGAUCCAGCAAUGCCGCGUGAGUGAUGAAGGCCUUAGGGUUGUAAAGCUCUUUUACCCGGGAUGAUAAUGACAGUACCGGGUGAAUAAGCUCCGGCUAACUCCGUG